rnacentral:rRNA from 1 species
CCCUAGAUGUCCGGGGCCGCACGCGCGCUACACUGAAGGAAUCAGCGUGGCUUUCUCCCUGACCCGAAAGGGUUGGGAAACCCGUUGAAUCUCCUUCGUGAUAGGGAUUGGGGCUUGAAAUUGUUCCCCAUGAACGAGGAAUUCCCAGUAAGCGCGAGUCAUAAGCUCGCGUUGAUUACGUCCCUGCCCUUUGUACACACCGCCCGUCGCUCCUACCGAUUGAAUGCUCAGGUGAGCCAUUCGGACUUUCAUCAUGCUGGUUUCCAGUUUUGAUGAAGGAAAGUCUUGCGAACCUUAUCAUUUAGAGGAAGGAGAAGUCGUAACA